GGGUUGUGAGGUUAAGCGACUAAGCGUACACGGUGGAUGCCCUGGCAGUCAGAGGCGAUGAAGGACGUGCUAAUCUGCGAUAAGCGUCGGUAAGGUGAUAUGAACCGUUAUAACCGGCGAUUUCCGAAUGGGGAAACCCAGUGUGAUUCGUCACACUAUCAUUAACUGAAUCCAUAGGUUAAUGAGGCGAACCGGGGGAACUGAAACAUCUAAGUACCCCGAGGAAAAGAAAUCAACCGAGAUUCCCCCAGUAGCGGCGAGCGAACGGGGAGGAGCCCAGAGCCUGAAUCAGUGUGUGUGUUAGUGGAAGCGUCUGGAAAGGCGCGCGAUACAGGGUGACAGCCCCGUACACAAAAAUGCACAUACUGUGAGCUCGAUGAGUAGGGCGGGACACGUGGUAUCCUGUCUGAAUAUGGGGGGACCAUCCUCCAAGGCUAAAUACUCCUGACUGACCGAUAGUGAACCAGUACCGUGAGGGAAAGGCGAAAAGAACCCCGGCGAGGGGAGUGAAAAAGAACCUGAAACCGUGUACGUACAAGCAGUGGGAGCACGCUUCGGCGUGUGACUGCGUACCUUUUGUAUAAUGGGUCAGCGACUUAUAUUCUGUAGCAAGGUUAACCGAAUAGGGGAGCCGAAGGGAAACCGAGUCUUAACUGGGCGUUAAGUUGCAGGGUAUAGACCCGAAACCCGGUGAUCUAGCCAUGGGCAGGUUGAAGGUUGGGUAACACUAACUGGAGGACCGAACCGACUAAUGUUGAAAAAUUAGCGGAUGACUUGUGGCUGGGGGUGAAAGGCCAAUCAAACCGGGAGAUAGCUGGUUCUCCCCGAAAGCUAUUUAGGUAGCGCCUCGUGAAUUCAUCUCCGGGGGUAGAGCACUGUUUCGGCAAGGGGGUCAUCCCGACUUACCAACCCGAUGCAAACUGCGAAUACCGGAGAAUGUUAUCACGGGAGACACACGGCGGGUGCUAACGUCCGUCGUGAAGAGGGAAACAACCCAGACCGCCAGCUAAGGUCCCAAAGUCAUGGUUAAGUGGGAAACGAUGUGGGAAGGCCCAGACAGCCAGGAUGUUGGCUUAGAAGCAGCCAUCAUUUAAAGAAAGCGUAAUAGCUCACUGGUCGAGUCGGCCUGCGCGGAAGAUGUAACGGGGCUAAACCAUGCACCGAAGCUGCGGCAGCGACACUAUGUGUUGUUGGGUAGGGGAGCGUUCUGUAAGCCUGUGAAGGUGUACUGUGAGGUAUGCUGGAGGUAUCAGAAGUGCGAAUGCUGACAUAAGUAACGAUAAAGCGGGUGAAAAGCCCGCUCGCCGGAAGACCAAGGGUUCCUGUCCAACGUUAAUCGGGGCAGGGUGAGUCGACCCCUAAGGCGAGGCCGAAAGGCGUAGUCGAUGGGAAACAGGUUAAUAUUCCUGUACUUGGUGUUACUGCGAAGGGGGGACGGAGAAGGCUAUGUUGGCCGGGCGACGGUUGUCCCGGUUUAAGCGUGUAGGCUGGUUUUCCAGGCAAAUCCGGAAAAUCAAGGCUGAGGCGUGAUGACGAGGCACUACGGUGCUGAAGCAACAAAUGCCCUGCUUCCAGGAAAAGCCUCUAAGCAUCAGGUAACAUCAAAUCGUACCCCAAACCGACACAGGUGGUCAGGUAGAGAAUACCAAGGCGCUUGAGAGAACUCGGGUGAAGGAACUAGGCAAAAUGGUGCCGUAACUUCGGGAGAAGGCACGCUGAUAUGUAGGUGAAGCGACUUGCUCGUGGAGCUGAAAUCAGUCGAAGAUACCAGCUGGCUGCAACUGUUUAUUAAAAAC
rnacentral:rRNA from 1 species